GCACAUCCAUGUCCAAGCUCU
rnacentral:miRNA from 1 species